UGAAUACGAGACGCUAAGGCGUCGAAGUAGUGUAUGUCAUACUUCCAAGAAAAGCUUGCACUGUCAUAGAUAAAAAACGCCUGUACCAUAACCGACACAGGUGGGUAGGUAGAGUAUACUAAGGGGCGCGAGAUAACUCUCUCUAAGGAACUCGGCAAAAUAACUCCGUAACUUCGGGAGAAGGAGUGCCUUAUUCGUAAGGUUGCAAUAACAAGAUCCAAGCAACUGUUUAUCAAAAACACAGGUCUCCGCUAAGUCGUAAGACGAUGUAUGGGGGCUGACGCCUGCCCAGUGCCAGAAGGUUAAAGAAGUUGGUUAGCAAUUGCGAAGCUGAUAACUGAAGCCCUGGUGAACGGCGGCCGUAACGAUAACGGUCCUAAGGUAGCGAAAUUCCUUGUCGGGUAAGUUCCGACCCGCACGAAAGGCGUAAUGAUUUGGAUACUGUCUCGGAGAGGGGCUCGGUGAAAUAGACUUGUCUGUGAAGAUGCGGACUACCUGCGCCGGGACAGAAAGACCCUAUGAAGCUUUACUGUAACUUGAAAUUGAAAUUGGACUUUAUUCGCGCAGUAUAGGUGGGAGGCGUUGAUUAUAAUCUUGUGGGAUUAUUGGAGCCAUCAGUGAGAUACCACUCUUGUAAUGUUAGAUUUCUAACUUUGAAUCAUUAUCUGGUCAAAGAACAGUUUCAGGCGGGCAGUUUGACUGGGGCGGUCGCCUCCUAAACGGUAACGGAGGCGUACAAAGGUUUCCUCUGAACGGUUAGAAAUCGUAUCUAGAGUGUAAAGGCAUAAGGAAGCUUGACUGUGAGACCUACAAGUCGAGCAGGGACGAAAGUCGGUCUUAGUGAUCUGACGGUACUGAGUGGAAAGGCCGUCACUCAACGGAUAAAAGUUACUCUAGGAUAACAGGCUGAUCUCCCCCAAGAGUUCACAUCGACGGGGAGGUUUGGCACCUCGAUGUCGGCUCAUCGCAUCCUGGGGCGGUAGUACGUCCCAAGGGUUGGGCUGUUCGCCCAUGAAAGCGGUACGCGAGCUGGGUUCAGAACGUCGUGAGACAGUUCGGUCCAUAUCCGGUGUAGGCGUUAGAAUAUUGAGAGGAGCCUUCUUUAGUACGAGAGGACCGAGAAGGACAUACCUCUGGUGUACCAGUUAUCGUGCCAACGGUAAACGCUGGGUAGCUAUGUAUGGAGUGGAUAACCGCUGAAAGCAUCUAAGUGGGAAGCCCACCUCAAGAUAAGUAUUCUCA
rnacentral:rRNA from 1 species